CACCAUGUGCAACCUUCACAUGUGCCGGAGAUCACGCCCGAAGCAAGGGCGGGUCUAUGUACAAGGUUCCGGGUUCACCCGAACCCACUGGAUUUUGAAUUUUUAGUUGAGCGGCUAUAUAAAAGUAUGGAGUGAACCCAUAAAUAAAAUAUGGGAUGCACCCGCAACAAAAAUGAUGAAGCACUCCAGUGGUUAGGGCUUUUGUUUCUAAACAUGGUGCUCCGUGUUUGAUCCUCGUUAGUGAAGUUUUUUUUUAAAACAAGAUAUGUGACUUCUAUUACUCGUGUUUAUUCCUUGUUCAGCUACACCCAAACAAACCCCAUUCUUUUAUUUUUAUUUUUAUUUUUUUUAACCAACAAUAGCAAAAUUCAUUCUACACCCAAAAAGCAAAGCUUAGCCAAAACAAGAUUACACACAAGACGUGACAAAUAGUCUCUGUUUCAUUUGAUUUACAGAUAAUUGACAAUGGCUUUUAGGGUCUUUUGAUUGGCUAAUAUUGUUAAAGGAUAAAAGGAAUGGAAAAAAAAUUAUCCCAUUAUUAUGUUUCCUUGGUAAUGGAAUGAAACUUCUUUUAAUUAUGUAUAAAGACUAUAUGUGUAUAUAUAGGGGUUUCAUUAACGUGUUUGGUUGGUCUGUAAGACAGUAGGACUCUAAUGACGUUUUUUUUAUUGUUGCAUCGUAUUUUAUUAUGGGAUGAACCUUACCCAAGCCGAACUGUUGAAUCAAACCAAAAUUUUUAGUGUCCAGUCUAAUGAAAUUGGAUCAUCUAAAACCAGUGAACCCACUAAAAAAAAUUCUGGAUCCGCCACUGGCCGAAGAUGAGACGUCGGAGACAAUAAAGCCUAGUCGACAUGAUAUCAUAACCGAUUUGAAGAUGUUGAGUAAAAAAUGGAAUCAGUUUACACUUAUCUUACUUGUGAUGAUGUUAAUUUGCUGGAUUGAAUUGUUCACUGUUGCAAUGGUUUACUUGAUUACAUUAGAAUUUGGUGACAUUUGUUUUUGUGGCAAAAGAUCAUACCAUGUCUUGUUCUUUUUCUUACGGUAUCAUACACCGACCAUCAAGGAGUUUCGUGAUUGUAAAUGCAGGACCUGGUGAUCGGUUGGAUGUACUAGUUGAAGUGGAUAAAGGGAUUAAUAAUACAGAGAUUAACGGGUCAGUAGUCACCGCUACGUACUUGUACUAUUCUACUGAAACGGGUCAACUGUUGGAUUAUGUUGACCAUGAAUACAAUCAUCGUUCAGCUAUGAGUAUUGCAAAUCUUGUAUUACGGUGUCAACUUGUUCUUAAUAACAUACCAACGGCUAUUGAAGAUGCAGUGAAGACGACGGGUAAAGAGAAAAUGGAUGAUGAUGAGAUUUGUGUAAUUUGUCUCGAAGAAUAUCAAGAGGAUGAUAUGAUUGGAACACUGGUAUGCAAACAUAGUUAUCAUGAUGAAUGCAUCAAAAAAUGGUUAAAAGUCAAGGGUCGAUGUUCGAUUUGCGGGGCUAUUGCUUUCCGCCUUACACCCUCGUUUCGCUAGUUCCAAAAGUGUUUUCACUGGUUACUUGUUUUCUCAAGCGGCGCAGCUCGUUGCCCGUUUACCUUCUAUUUCGAUGUAAUAAAAAAUAAUAAUGGUUUUAUGUGAUUCUGAGCAAAACCGA